rnacentral:rRNA from 1 species
CCUACGGGGGGCUGCAGUGGGGAAUAUUGGACAAUGGGGGGAACCCUGAUCCAGCCAUGCCGCGUGUGUGAAGAAGGCCCUCGGGUUGUAAAGCACUUUCAGUGAGGAAGAACGCCUGGUGGUUAAUACCCAUCAGGAAAGACAUCACUCACAGAAGAAGCACCGGCUAACUCCGUGCCAGCAGCCGCGAUAAUACGGAGGGUGCGAGCGUUAAUCGGAAUUACUGGGCGUAAAGCGCGCGUAGGUGGCUUGAUAAGCCGGUUGUGAAAGCCCCGGGCUCAACCUGGGAACGGCAUCCGGAACUGUCAAGCUAGAGUGCAGGAGAGGAAGGUAGAAUUCCCGGUGUAGCGGUGAAAUGCGUAGAGAUCGGGAGGAAUACCAGUGGCGAAGGCGGCCUUCUGGACUGACACUGACACUGAGGUGCGAAAGCGUGGGUAGCAAACAGGAUUAGAUACCCUUGUAGUC